GUGAAUAUGGAAUCCAUAAGUCUUAAGAGUAUCAUUAUUGGAGUACUCAUGCUAGGACUAGUCCUUCAACAGACCCAUAUAGAGGCCAAGAGCUGUUGUUGUUCCACCACGACAAGAAACUGCUAUAAUGUAUGUCGUGUCACCGGUUCCUCUCGGUCUACAUGUGCAAGCUUAUGUUGUUGCAAGAUUUUGGAAAAAUGUGUGCCUCCAUGUGACCGCUUCAACCUUGUCACAGACGCAGACGAAGCAAAAUCCAUUGAGUUCUGCAAGUUGGGAUGCAUGUCCUCAUUGUGCGGGAACAUCAACGCUGUUGUUGCGAGUCAAGAAGUGAACGAUGUCAAAGAUCAUUGCGAAACUGGAUGCUACCAUCUCUGCACUAAGGAUUAUGAAUUUGGCGAAGUCCUUGCUUAAGAAAGUGUGAGAGUCGACAUUUCAUGUUGAAUAUACGGGAGUGUCAAUGUUAUAUUGAAUAACUGGAUAACAUGUUCAAUCCAGUGUGUCAAUUUAUUUCUGCUUGUAAGUGUCUCGGUGAUGCGAUAUUAUAGAUAAUGUGCUCAUCGUUUUGUAAGAAACGUAUGUCAUAUCCAAUGUAAUGUGAUGUAUUAUUAUAAU